rnacentral:rRNA from 1 species
GACGAAGGGGGCUAGCGUUGUUCGGAAUUACUGGGCGUAAAGCGCGUGUAGGCGGUUGUUCAAGUCGGGUGUGAAAGCCUUGAGCUCAACUCAAGAAAUGCACUCGAUACUGGAUGACUUGAGGACCGGAGAGGAUAGUGGAAUUCCCAGUGUAGUAGUGAAAUACGUAGAGAUUGGGAAGAACACCAGUGGCGAAGGCGGCUAUCUGGACGGUUUCUGACGCUAAGACGCGAAAGCGUGGGGAGCAAACAGG